AACUGCAGGUUUCCUUACGGAGUGGUGGGGCGACUGGAAGGGAGGCGACACAAAGCUACUUUACUGGAUGAAGAAUGCUAAAAAUGUGUGUGAGGAAGCUGAGCGGAAGCUGAGCCUUGAGAGGUGGAAGCAUGCCCAAGGUUGUAAACAAAAAAAGCCCUGAAGUGGGCAGGUGAGGUGGGGGGCGGGGCCGGGAUGUCUGUCCUCAUUUGCCAGCUGGGUCUCCUGGUUUACACUUCGGGUCACACUGUUGCAGCCGAAUUUCUCCUACGGGCUGGCUGUGAGCAGGGCAGGGAGGGGCAGAUCUGUCCCCUUGGCAUUCAUAAAAGCUAGUUUCUCUCACAGGCUUAAUAAUUAAGGUUUCUCAGCCUACUGGGCCCAGGGCCUUUCUCCUGCCGAGAACUAUGCCUUUUGUUUCUAGGCCUCCUCACACCUGAGCUCAACUGCGUUGCUAAUGACAACCCUCCUUACCCCUACCCACUUGACUGACCUUUACUUGGGUGGGUAUGGAUCCUGAGCCCACAGCUCUCAUUCUCGGGAGCCACAUCCCACCCCAGGUUGGGUUCACAUUUCACUGAGCACAGUCCAACUAUGUGAUGUUCCCAAACCCCCGCCCUCCCCCCCUGCUCGCCCUUGCCCCUCCCCGCCCCCCCUCGUCCCCGCCCUGGGCGAGCACUGAGUCUUCCACUUUCUGCUCUACAGCUCCGCGAGUUUACUCACCUUUGUGAGUCUUUUCUUAGCACUCUUCUUUCAGCUGCUAGCCAGAGCCUAAGUGUACCUUUUCUGGUUCUCUGGUUUCCCACCCUUUCUCUGGAGUCCCCUUUCCCUAUCUGGCAUGCAGUCGAGUGUCAGCUAUGUGGCCGAGAGCCAUGCUCUUCCUACCUAUAAACUAAAACUCAUCCAGUGUGCUCCAUGAAUUUCAUUCUUUGAAUUCACAAGUGCGAAACUCAAAAGUCUGUUUUUGGGGAAAACUGGUGGCCAUCUAGUUUUGGGGACUCUAGCUCUCUCCAAAAACCUCAGUUCUCAAAGAUUACCCAGUACGCCCAUAUCCUUGUUGAGGGUGAGAGCUAGGCGCAGGUGGUAGGCAAUGCAGGGCUUGCCAGGAGGCUCAGAGGCGGCAGAGGAAACAGGUUGUCCCUAGACGAGCCCCAGAGAGUUCUCUCUCAAAGUGGCUGAAAAUUCUUGAACCUCUUCCGCAAGAAAGAACCCAGAGGAUUGCCUUGCUGACCUUGGCUUCCAAAGCCUUCUGCAUAAGCAAGGCAGAGAAAAGAUUAUCGCUCACACAACCUUAGGACAGCUUUUCAGUGUGCCUGUGAUCCCUAAUGAGGAUACUUUGAUGGGGGUAGUGCUGAUUCAAAAUGGAGUGACGAGGGGGGUCACCAGGGGUCACCACUUCUUUCAGGGAGCCUCUUCUCUUUAGGGGGUUCCUUAUCCCAAGAAGACCUGCACUGACCCUCACAGGCCCACUAUGGUCUCAUGAGUGGGAGCUGGCACCCUAAGAUAUGUGGUGGCUCUGUCUGUCUCUACCCCCUCUCUCCCUGUUCCCACAUGUUUCCAGCUGGCCUCUCUUUCUCUCUUUCUGUUCAUUUCUAUUCCCGCUUUCUCUGCCCUUGUAGCUCCAUCUGCCUCUACCUGAUCUCCCACAGCAAAUCUCCCUUAUGCUAGGUUGUGGCAUGGUGUGGUUUCUUGGGGAGAUACCUUGGUAUGGGCCUACCAGGUACCCCCUUACUCCUGCUGGCACCACUGCAAUUUUAUUUCAUAACAGUUUCGUCAGUUUGUGCAAGCAUGAAGACAGAGCUCAGAUCUGAGAUGCAGGGGUGGGAUCAAGUAAGUUUUACACACGCACGAACAUGCAUACGCAUAUACACAUGCUAGCUGAAUGUAAAAACAAGGAAAUAGUAAACAUAAAGAAGGGGGCAGAAGAGAGGGCUCAGUGGUCGAGAGCAUUUGCUGCUCUUGUAGAUGAUGGGGGUCUGGCUAUCAGCACCCCCAUGGUGGCUUACAACCAUCUACAACUCCAGUUCGAGGGGAUCCGAUACCUUUUGACCUCCUUGGGUAUCAGGCAUGUGUGUGUUGUACAUAUACACUUAUAGGAAAAACACUCAUACAUAUAAGAUUAAAUAAAUCUAAAAUAAAUUAAAAGCAUAUGAGGUAAGACAGGCACUGUGUGUGUUUUUAGUCUCAACAUUCAGGGGGCAGAGAUGGGUAGAUCUUGGUGAUUUCUGAGUCCAGCCUGAUCUGCAUAGCAAGUUUCAGGCCAGCCGGAGUUAUACAGUGAGCCUCUGUCUAAAAAUAAAUUAAUAAGCCAGGUGUGGUCGUGCACACCUUUAAAAGGAACUUGGGAGGUGGAUGCAAGUGGAUCUUCUAGUUUGAGGCCAGCCUGGUCUACAUAGCAAGUUCCAGGCCAAUUCUAUCUUUGUCUCAAAAUAAUAACAAUAAUAACAAUCAAUGAUAAUAAUAAUGAUGAUCAUUAACAAUGAUAAUGAAGACAACUGAGGAAGACACUGGGCCUCAGCCUCUGGCUCCACAGCUCGUGGCAUAUGAGCACGCCUGAGCAGUACUCCAUUAAUCCACUCUAUUUGCUCAGCGGCAGCAGCGUGAGAGCCUCGCUACCGUCCCAAUGUUGUGGAGUCUUGAAUGAAACACACACACACACACACACACACACACACACACACACACACACACACAGCCUCAUGUUUAAUAUCUCAAUGAAUGGGUACUUGCAAACAUCCACAUGGCUCACACACUCUCUCCUCCGAUAUUUCUGAGUUAAUUCUUACUAAACCUAUAUUCCAUCAUGGCCGCCCUGGACCCUGGCCUGAAGGCUGCCGGGGCCACGAUCUGUAACUGUUACAAGUUGGCAAUCUCUCUGUCUCUCUAUCCUACACUUCUUAGGCCCGGACCUCCCAGCAUGGUACCUUCUUCUUCUGUAUCUCUUGCCAGGGAAUCCUAAAUGUUGCAUCUCUGUCUCUCUGCCCGGCCAUUGGCCGCUGGCAACUUUGUUUACCAGUCAAAUCCAGCUGGGGGCAGAGACCCAUCCUACAUGUAGACAUGCAAGUUUCUGUGUAGUUUUGGGAACCCAAUUAACAUAAUACAAUCAAUAAACCAAAUCCACAACACAUGCCUGUAUGUGCAUAUGUGAGUCACACAUAUGUAUGUACGUACACACACACACACACACACACACACACACACACACACAUAGAGGCUGGGAUUGGCAGGAGAUUAGUAGCAGAAGAUUACAAUUUCCUUUUAGGGUGACAGAAGCAUUCUGAAGUUGAUUGUGAGCAUGGCAGCACAACUUAGAAGCCCCUAGCACUCACUAUGCACGUGGCAAAGCCUUACUCAAGUAGAGGGAGGAUGGAGCUCACCUGUCUCUCAGCCCAGACCUGGGCACUGAAAGGAAGGUGUAGGCUCCCACUUGACAGGGGUGAGUAAAGGCCAUUAUUUCAAAGAGAUCAACGAGAGACCGAAGGCUCAUGCUGUCUCUUCUCCUGUCAGGGUGGGAACUUGGGCCUCCAUGUAGUCUCCCCAGGAAUUCAGUACCUUAAGGUACUGAUACCCCUCACUGAGAUGAAUGGUGAAUGAGUGAAGGCCUGGCUUUAGCUCUGUGCCACUGGGGUUGACCAGGAUGUGUGCAAGCUGGUGAAGAGAGAAGGGUAUGUUUGUUCCUUGUCAGCUCAGUCAGGGCUCUGAAUUAUUAAUCAUCUCAUUUCUUGGAGAGGCGUUUGGCUCUUUGACCAUCCCCCACCCCCACCCCUCCAGCCCUGCACCAUAGACAAAAGUGCUUCCCGUCUGAUUUCAGAGCAGCUCCCUCCCUCUACAUCAUUUUGGCCCAGGAAGAAAAAGCAGGAAGCAGCUGGAAGGAUGUUUUUGCAUUUUCAAGUUAAAAUGUGCCUAGAUUAUUAUACAUCUGGGCUCUGGGGAGAGCCACUAUAUGUAGGCCAAGUGUUUCUUAGAAAUUCUGAGAGGUGUGGCGAUACACUAGGUACACACUCUACAAUCAGGAGGAGGCCAAGGCUGCGUUCUUAGUGCCUUCCCUCAUUGCUUCUGGGUAACGGCUGACAAUGAUCCUUUAGCCAUAGCUUCCCUCAGAUGCCCCGAAGCCAGGAUUUCUUUGAGCUCACACCUGAAUCACCAGUUGGGUCACCCAAUCCUGUCACAUGCCUUCUGUCAUCACGUGCUUUAGAUAACCACAAGUUGGCUUUAGAUAGGCUAAUACCAAUGCCAGAACACCAACGUGCCAGCUGUCACCUCCCUGCCUCUGGUUCUUCCUUUAUGAGGCCACCAUACUUACCUGAUAGCCACUACAGUCCUUUGAGGUCAUGUCACUCUCCGUGGAUGUGCCCUGACUUUCUUAUUAGUCUGCAGCCUGAUACAGUAAGCAGCCUAGCUAAUCGUAGCUUGGUUUUUUUGGGUUGUAUUCAUAAUGACAAAAUGAAGCAUAUGUUAAUCAGGGUUUUAUUGCUAUGAGUGGAUAUACGACCAAGGCAACUCUUAUAAAGAAAAACACUUGAUUGGGGCUGGCUUACGGGUGUAGAGGUUUAGUCUAUUGUCAUCAUGGUGUGAAGCAUGGCCGUAAGCAGGCAGACAUGGUGCUGGAGAAAGUUGAUUGGCUGUACAUCUGGAUUGGCAGCAGCAGGGAGAGUGACACCUCCAAUGACUUCCUCCAAAGGACCACACCUCCUAAUAGUGCCACUACCUAUGCAUCUGUAGAGGCCAUCUUUACUCAAAUCACCCCCACUCUUUAUGGAGAGUCAGAGCUAUGUCUGGUGGGCUUGGGUUUCCUUUGCCCAAAGAGACAGCUUUGUUUCUUCCUUUUCUAGGAUUUGAACUCAGGACCAUCUGGAAGAGCAGUCAGUGCUCUUAACCACUGAGCCAUCUCUCCAGCCCUGUUCCUUUCUCUUCUUAACGAUUUGUUUAUUUGUACUUUACGUGUAUAAGUGUUUGAGUGUGUGCACCUAGUGUGGGCAGAUGCCAGAAAAGGGUGGGGUGACAGGUGGUGGUGAGCAGCUGUUUGGGUGCUGAAAACUGAACCUGGGUCCUCUGAGAGAAUGCUGAGUGCUCUUAACCACCGAGACACAGCUUCAGCUCCAAGGAUUUCUUCGGUGCUCCCUCCCUGUCUGUCAGACUCAGAGUUUAAGAUACAUUGUUGCAGUUGUUUAUUUUGAAGCGAGGCUUCGUUUCAAAAUGACUUCAUAUCUACUGAGAUGCGGCCAGGACCACACAGAGAGUUGCUUUGUACUUUUCGUGGGGACCGUGAUGCCUGACUCUUUCUGAGCCCCAAGCCCUGCUGGGUCUGCACCGCCCUAUUUCACUAAGGAACCUGUGAUUUGACUCCAUGAGGUGAGCGAGUCCUAGGGUCUAGAUAGUGUGACAGCCACCUCAGAGGGGACAUUCUAUUCCCGACCCUUUGUCCCUGUUUACUGGACAGUGGUUGCGUUUGGUGGAUUUGGACCUCAGGUUUGCUCUUGGUGGAGCAAUCCCCUGGGAGGAUGUUAAUAGGACCCUUGGUGGAUUCUAUAACUGAGGGUUGCCAAAUGGUCAGGUGAGCUGAGGUCAACUCACAUCAAAAGGAAAGGAGGAAAACCAUUAUAGGCAAAAUUAACAGAGACACUGCAAGGUCGCCUUCAAAAAAUUCCUUCCCCAUUUAGGAGAAUGUGACCCACAUCAGGCCACCAUUGAGGGGAAAUUGCAGGGCUGGGACAGGACUCUGUGCCUUAGGCAACCUCCUCCUUGUGGGUCCCCACCGCAGCCACUGACACAUGGCUGGAUUAGCUCUAGCCCUGCUCUCUUUUCCUCAGUCAGACUCAGAAUUUUUCCGCUAUAGUCAGGAUCCACCUCUAAUGAUUUUUGUUCUUCCUCCUGUUAACACUCAGUUCGGCCAGAGCCAGAAAGGCUUAUACUUUUCUAGGAAAUGAGCAUCAGUUGAAUGGGUGUGUAUUGUGUGUUUUGUGGAGUGGCUGAGUGAAUAUAUUUACUCCUGAAGAGCUCCACAGAGGUUACUGAGAAGCUACACCCAACUUUAUCUGACUCUUUAUUUGUAGGAGAGGAUGGGGGCUUGGAUUGAGACAGGGUCUCAUGUAGCCCAGGAUGGCCUCAGAUUCUCUAUGUGGCCGGGGAUGGUUUUGAACAUCUGACCCUCCUGCCUCUUCUUCCCAGAUCUGGGAUUACAAGUGUGCACUCCCGUGCCCACCUUAGGCUGGUCUUUCAUGAGUUGUUUUGCAAGCAUCUCUUACUGUUGCAUUCAUAUCAGACAUGUGGACAAACAAAAAGGAAAAGAACAAAGUCCCAUGAACUGGUAAGGAUUUAGGGUAGGGCUGACCAGACGGCUCUGCAAGCCUGCUGAUCCCUCGAGCCAUAUGGAGGAAGAGACCUGACUCGAAGAAGUGGUCUUCUGACCUUCCAUGCUGUGGCACAUGUGAGCUUCCAUCACACCAAAUAAAAAAUUUAAAUGUAAUUAAAUAAAACCAAACCAAACACACACACACAAGGAUCUGAGUAAAUAUUUCUCCAAAGGUCAAUAAAUGUGCAAAACCUCAUGAAAAGUGCUUGGCGUAAUUAGUACUUAAGAAACUGAGAUCAGAACCAUGGGGGGGGGGGAGGGGGCGGGGCUGGAGAGAUGGCUCAGUGGUUGAGAGCACUGGUUGGUCUUCCAGAGGUCCUGGGUUCAAUUCCCAGCACCCACAUGUCAGCUCACAACUGUCUGUGACUCCCGUUUCAGGGGAUCUGACAACCUAACACAGACAUACGUGCAGCCAAAACACUGAUGUACAUACAAUAAAAAUAGAUACAUUAAAAAAUAAAUAUAAGAUUAAAAAAAGAGCGGAGAGAUGGGGCCAGGGUAGAGGAAGUGGGGAGCCAGCACCAGUGUUGGGGAGAACAUGGGCGAGGAGAUUCUGGACUCAUAUGCAUCACUGGUCAAGGAUGAUGGAGAACGCAGGGCUUACUACAGACGUCAAACAAGUCUGUCAUCCCAACACCUGGGAGGCAGAGUCUGGAGGAUUAGGAGUGCAAGGCCAGUCUCAACCAUAGGAAAUCCUAUCUCAAAAAAACCAAAGGGGGGAAAAAUAAACAUAACCCAGCAACUCCAUUCUUUAAACCCCAAAGAGCUGAGAGUAAUGUUUGUAUAAAAAUGGAUCAAACCAACCAUGGCAGUACCUGUCUGUGACCUCACGCUUAGGAAGCAGAGGCAGGAGGAUCAUGAGUUUGGUGUUAGUCUGGGCUCUACAGUAAGACCCUGUCUCAGACAGACAAAAGUAAAUAAAUAAAAAUCUGUAGUAAAACAACUUAGGAGUGAAUCAUCUGAAGGACACAUGGCGAUUUAAGAUUAACAAGAGGGGCUGGGGAUUUAGCUCAGUGGUAGAGCGCUUACCUAGGAAGCGCAAGGCCCUGGGUUCGGUCCCCAGCUCCGAAAAAAAAGAACCAAAAAAAAAAAAAAAAAAGAUUAACAAGAAAGUGCUGGCUCAUGCCACAGUGUGGGUCAGUCUUGAAUACAUUAAACCCAAACUAGCCAGGCACAGAAGGUCGCACACGGUAACCCUAUUUACUCCACGUCCAGAAUAGGCUAGUUCCUAGAGAUUGAUAGAGUCCAGGAACUAGGGAGAAAGGCAAAUGCUUCCUGUUCACACUCGCUCUCCCUCCCUCAAAGGUAUGAUGGCAGGAACCUGGCCAGAGAGAGGAAGCGAAGCAGAAGCGGCAGGGAAUGUUGAGUCAUGGAUGAGCCACGGGUGAGCCUUGGGUGAGCCACGGGUGAGCCUUGGGUGAGCCUCCGGUGAGCCUCGGGUGAGCCACAGGUACUGCGGAUGCCUCAUUUGCAUAACCAGGUGCUCGCUGCAUGUGACCUUAUAAGGAGAAAGGAAGUUCAACUUGUAACUUGGAGACCAGGUUAUAUGACUAAGGCCUCCAGAUUAAAGCCGAAACAGAAGUAAACCCGAAUCAGAACCCGAUAUGGACAAGACAAAAGACUACAGUGAGGCCGUACUUACAGAUGGGAAAAAAACCAGGGUCUCUGGUAAAUCCUGGAGGAGCCCACAAACGUAAGGGUCUAUGAUUCAUUGAAGAGCGACACCCCAACUCAAAUGCUGUGCAAAUGCAAAGAGUGUUUUAUUCUGCAGACGUCCAGCAUGCUGGGGUCUCCCAUUACCAAGACAGAGAGACACCCAAGUAAGCUUGCAGGCCUGGUUUAAAGCACAUUAGAGAAUUCCAGGGCAGGUGGCCUUUGCCUCACUCUAUCUCUAUGGACAUCCCGUUUCCUGAGUGUGGGGGCUGGCUAGAAACUGUGGACCCGUUGUCCUUGCCUCAAGCCAGGCGGUGGGGCAGUUUCUAAUGGCAGAGCAGUUUCUGACUGGCUGCCUGUAGCCUGGGUUUUUAAGCCCUUAUCUCUCGAACUGUCCAUUUGAAGUCUGUCAUGGAGUCAGCCUGUCUCAUCAGUUAUGUAAACCAUCCAGGAGAGUGAGCUCUCAAAGAGUGGUGACCAGGAGAAAGGAAUGGGAAUAUUGCCGUCCAUGUUUAAGUUUGGAGAGAUGAAAUCGUGCUAGAGGUAGAUGGCAGGGGUGACUGUGUAACAGGGAUGUACUCACUACCUCGAAGUGGAGAUGUGGUUGAAUGGUUCAGAUUUUACUGCAAUUAAAAAAUGUUAGAUGCUGGGGCUGGGGAUUUAGCUCAGCGGUAGAGCGCUUACCUAGGAAGCGCAAGGCCCUGGGUUCGGUCCCCAGCUCCGGAAAAAAAAAAAAUGUUAGAUGCUUCCAGUGUGUCCCCAACAAAGCUCUGGCAUUUGAUCCUCUCACUCCGACUUCACAGGUCUGUGUUGCACUCUCCCAUCAUGCUUGGAAUCUAGAAUCAGCUCGAGGGUCCCUGAGUGGUGGCACAGAGGAUACUAGGAGAUGCUAGAUGAAUAGCAGAAAGGACAAUUUUAGAGGGGACAAUAAGCAAGGACAGGCUAAAUGAGCGUCAAAAGCUCCCACACUCACUCUUUCAGUUCUCCCAUGGGGACAGUCAUCUAGUUCCUCAAUGUCCCUGCUUAAGAAAAAAAUUCCUCAAAUAAGUAAGUCAGGGAAAAGUUUGUUGCAUGGUGGUUCAAAGUCUCGGGACUCAAUCUUAUGUAACAACCUGGUCUGCUUUAAAACAAAGCACAAGGAAACAACAGUACUUUUCUGUUACAUUUUCAUUUCUUGGUAUGUCUGUGCAUGUGAUUGGAGAUUAGGGGACAAUUUUCAGGAAUCAGUUCUCUGCUUCCACCAACAGACAUCUUGAGCUACGGGGCCAUCUCAGGGAAACCCUGCCCCUCGUCUCCUGUUUUACCCUUUUUAAAAAAGCAUUUAUACAUUCAUUUUAUUUUAUGUUUGAGUUUUUUGCAUAUACAUGUGUAUACCAUGUGUAUGCUUGGUACCCACAGGGAUCCGAAGAGGUUAUGGGUUUCUCUGGGACUGGAGUUACUGAUGGUUACAAAUGACCAUCUAUGUCUACCAGAACAACAGUGCUCUUAACCAUUGGACCAUUUCUCCAAUCCUUUUAUUAAAAAUACAUUUGUUUUUGUUUUUGUUUUUGUUUUUUUUUUUACCUAUGUUUGUUCGUUUAGUGAUUACCUGUCUGUGUUCUCAAGCCCUUGUGCACAUGGAGGUCAAAGGCUAACACUAUGCACUUGCUUCUUUCCUACCAUGCGUUCUUUCUCACUGGUACCCCCACCUGCAUUUGACCUGUUAGCCACAGGACUCUGCUAAGCUGGGCUUAGUCUGUAAAAGAUUUGUAAGGUUAGUUUGAUUCCAGUGGCUACAUAUUGACCUGUACUGUAUCUAACUGAGUCAUCUCCCAGCAUUCCCCUGUACACAGUCUAUUCUUUGGAAUAUUCCCCUCUGGGCUGGCCUUACAAUCAGACUGGUUUCCAGGGGCUCACUAUAUGUUUGUAAGACUGCCAUAGUAAAUAUAAAUUACAUGAGGACGUUGUUUUAGACUCGGCUUCUGCACAAGGCCCAUUGGAUAAGACUAAAUAGUCAAGAUGGAGUCACUCAUGGUAUCUUUCCUCCAAAAAAUUUGAAAGACAGAUACAGAUUUCCCAAACUGUAGGAUAAUAAUGUCCUAUUUUCUUGACUCUCUAGUCUGGGUUUGUGAGGAGUAACAUCAGAGCAGCCAAUUAACUCCUUGUUCUGUGAUUUUGCCUUUGCCCACCUUGUUUGUUUGUUUAUUAUUUAUUUAUUUAAUGUAUAUGAGUACACUGUAGCUAUGUUCAUGCACACCGGAAGAGGGUAUUGUAUCCCAUUGCAGACAGAUGGUCACGAGCCACCAUGUGGUUGCUGGGAAUUGAACUCAGGACCUCUGGAAGGGCAAUUAGUGCUCUUAACCACUGAGCCAUCUCUCCAGCCCACCUUUGUUCAUGUUAAACAGAGUGUUGCCUGAUUCUAGAAUCACAAAUUAAGGCAAUCCCGACUCAGUGAGACCCAGUUUCAAACCAACAAACCAAUCCUCAAAUGUUCCCAGGUUGAAGUUUCUACCUACAGGUGUUUCCUGCUCCAUGUCUCUAAAUGCUGCCGCUGAAACCACAGCAACUCUCCUGGGCUCCCUCCCGAGCUCUCCACCAUCUAUAUAGACAAUGGUAUCUUCUUGGCUGCCAACUUCAAGCCUUUUGCCACCUCCAAAGCUAGGACUGUAGAGGCUGGACAUGGUGGGUCCGCCUUCUUCCUUCACUAAUCCUCUCUCACAGAGCUCACACAGGACCCUUCCGGAGCCCAACUGUGUCCACUCAGGCGUGAGGCACAUCCUUAGCCUUGGGGAUUUUUCUUUACCCUUUUUACUUAUUUAUUUGGUUUUUGGAGACAGGGUUUCUCUGUGUAGCCUUGGCUGUCCUGGAACUUACCUGUAGACCAGGCUGGCCUUAAUCUCAGCUCUGCCUCCCAAGACCUGGGAUUAAAAGCAUGUGUGCUACUCUACCCUGCCAUGUCCAGUGGGGAGCUGCUCUUUGACCUUUGCUGAACUUUUCAUUCCAUGGCCAGAAUUUCCCAAAGCCAAUACCCAGAAGAGCUGUGAGUGGCGGGCUCUGCAGCCCACUGUCCCCAGGCUCAGUGAGACAGCUCCUGCCUUCCUGCCUUUGAGAGCCUGAGGCUAGGCUACCUGGAUUUUCUCUUUCUUCCCCCUUUCUUCUAUGUCCCUCAGCCACAUUUUCUAGGGCUAUUUCUAAGAACUAAAGGUUCAUUCUGCAUUUCUGGGCACUGCAAUAUAAAAUCUCCUAGGGGCCCAGAAGCCCUCAACUCGGUAUACCGCCUCCUUGUGUAGCCUAAGAGCCAGAUAAUGGCUCACUUUCAGUAGUCUGAGAGGGCAGUAAGGCGUUUCCUGUGGUCCCUUUACCACAUCGGAAACUAGACACUGCUCUGGGUAGUAGUCUUGGGCUGGGGAGAUAAUACCGGAGGGAGCGCCAUACUUGGCCAGCGGUCUGCCUGAGACACUCUUCUGGACUUUUAACUCCUGAUUCCCCAGGACUGGCUCCCCAAGGCAGUUGUGUGACCAAGAUUAGGAUCGAGCCACACCCUCCAUCAGCUCCUGUUUUUAAAAUCACAGUUUUCAUUUUCAGUAGAACAUGGGAAACAACAAUAAAAACAUAGUCAACUGGAAGAGAAGAGGAAAAGGAGAGACUCUUUUGUGUCAAAUGGCUCUCUGAGAAAUUGCUCCUGUAUUUAAUCAUAAACACAUAUAAAUUUCCUUCCUCCCUCCCUCCCUCUCUCCCUCCUUCCUUUCUUCCUUCCUUCCUCUCUCUCCUGUUUCCUUUCUCUCUCUCUCCUCUUUCUUUCUCUCUCUCUCUUUCUUUCUCUCUCUCUCUCUUUCUUUCUUUCUUUCUUUCUUUCUUUCUUUCUUUCUUUCUUUCUUUCUUUCUUUCUGAGACAAGGUCUUUGUGGCCCUGACUGUCCUGGAACUCACUACGUGACCAGACUGGCCUGGAAUAUACAGAAAUCUGUCUGCCUCUGCCUCUCAAAUGCUAGGAUUAAGGCACGUGAUACUGUGCUUGGCUUAAAUUUAUCAAGUUUUUAGUUCCUCUUAGACCACUGCAUAGCCUGAAAGUUUCCUUUGAGAAGGAAGCCUGCUUUCUCAGGGCAGAACAGGCUUCUUCCUAUUGACCUGUGUCCUACUUCCUUCAUUCAGCCUAAGGACUCCGGGCCAUAAAAUGAGGGCCCUUGAAGAGUUGUCCCUGCAGCAGCUGUGGAAGCCACCAAGGUAGCAAUUACUCUUGUGCUGCCACCAACUCUAUCUCCAAUGUUCAGACAGCAAAGACAUCAAGGGACAAUGAAGUUUUGUGUUGCAAUUUCUAAAAAUAAGACUUCCUAAUUUUGAGAUGUAUUGAGAUUUCCUUUGGUUUUACAAAAUCGCUCACAUGCCCUUCUCUUCUGCCUGCUCUCAAUGGUCAGUCACACUGCUACCCUUCUCGUGAUAGGCUAACCCAAGAAAGCUCUCUGUGAACCCCUUUGCCACCUUCCUCUGACUGUGGGAGGCCACUUGCCUUAUCUCAGUUGGCUGGGCCCAUCACAAAUACCACAGGAUGAGUAGCUUCACCACAGGCGUCUGCUUCUCUCUCGAUGCUGGACGCAAGACAGUACUGUGGGCUUCAUUGCUGGAGUCCCUUCACUCAGAGGACAAGCCCACCAUUAGGAGACCACUGUCACAACCACAGCUACCCAGAGUCAUCUCCCAAAAGCUUUGAUGCCAAAUCCAAGGAGUCAGAGUUUCAGCCUGGGUUGUCAGGAUGCACAGGCUCCCUUCCCAGCCUUCAGGUAGUCCCUGGUGCCUACUCAUAAGAUUCCCAGGAGUAACUAAAAUGCUGCCAGAUUCCCUCUUAUCUUCCAGAACUAACAGAAAGAAGGGCCUCCCAAAAUUAUUACCCUGGAUGCUAGUUUUUGACAGUGCUUUUUGAGGAACCCCAAGAAUAGCCUUCGUCUUCAAGAAAGUACUCUUGGAAGAGCCCUUCCGGGAGAAGGAAGCUCUAAGAAGGUGACCUCAAGCUGCCCUCUGUGCUAUUCUGAAGAUAAUCCCACGCAGCUACGUGCUAAAAUACAUUAAAAUGCACAGUGACUGCCUGUUCUCAGUUCCCCCGCUUCUGAAUUAUUAUUCAUAAACAUGCUUCUUCACCAGAAAAGCACUAAGUCAGACUUUGCCAUGACAUGUUCGAUUCUAACCAGGACACAGGGUGGUGAGGUGGCCAUGGGUGAGUCUGUGUUAUAGCUCUGGCCUUUUUUUUUUUUUUUUUUUGGUUCUUUUUUUCGGAGCUGGGGACCGAACCCAGGGCCUUGUGCUUCCUAGGUAAGCGCUCUACCACUGAGCUAAAUCCCCAGCCCCAGCUCUGGCCUUUUAAAACUCUUGUCUUUGUUGCUAUGAUAUUGAUGGUUUCAUUGUUUAUAUAAGAGUAAUAGAUAAUUACAGCCAACAUGUAUUGAAUUCUUUACUUGUGCCCAAACAUUUAAUCAUUAAAGAAGUCUCAUGAGAUGGAUAUUUUUGUCCAUGAAAUAUCAAAUAAUCUAAUUUCUUUCCUGCUCUUCAGAUUCUGAGGACAUCCUAGUAAAGAACAAGUCUUUACUAUUGUUUGGUUGGAUUUUAAACUUAUUUUAUUUUAUGUAUGUGGGUGUUUUGCUGCAUGGAAGUCUGUUUUACUGCAUGCAAGUCUGUUUUGCUGCAUGGAAGUCUGUUUUGCUGCAUGGAAGUCUGUUUUGCUGCAUGGAAGUCUGUUUUGCUGCAUGCAAGUCUGUUUUGCUGCAUGGAAGUCUGUUUUGCUGCAUGCAAGUCUGUUUUGCUGCAUGCAAGUCUGUUUUGCUGCAUGCAAGUCUGUUUUGCUGCAUGCAAGUCUAUUUUGCUGCAUGCAAGUCUGUUUUGCUGCAUGGAAGUCUAUUUUGCUGCAUGUAGGUCUGUUUUGCUGCAUGGAAGUCUGUAUAGCAUGUGCAUGCCUGGUGUCUUUAAAGGUCAAGAAAAGGCUUUGAACUCCCUGGGACUAAGUGACAGAUGGUUGUGAACCACCAUAUAGGAGCUGAAAACUGAACUCUGGUCCUCUGCAAGAGCAGCAAUUGCCCUUAAUUGCUGAGCCAUCUCCCCAGCCUGUUGGGUUGUUGUUUGUUUGUUUGUUUGUUUGUUUGUUUUUUGAGACAAGAUCUUGGUUUCUAUUUAGUCCAGGAUGUUCUGGAGCCUGGGAGCGACCUGCCCCUGGCUCCUGAGGUUCUAGGAAUGAGCCACCAUGUCCAACUAGAAGGAAUCUUUAUUGUUCUCUAAGGGUUGCCACUGAGAUCAAGAAAGAGAAGAGGGAGAGUGUGUCAUAGAGACAGAGAAAAAUGAAAAUAAAGAUGCGGAGAAGGGCUGGAGAGGAGGAGAAAGUAGGGGAGGAAGAGGAGAUAAGGAAAAGUAAGGGGGGAGAUGGGGAAAGGGUGGGGGCAGCAAGCCCUGGUUAGAGGAGAGAAAAAUAUUUUCCAGUUCUGGUGUGAACCUUUCUUCCCCAUCCAGGAAAAACUUGGCACAGAAUGACAGCAUAAUUCAACUUGGAUAGCACGCAAUCAGGUGCAAGAUAUGCUUGGUGGCAAGAUAUUAUUUCAUGUGUCAGUAAGGGAGACUCAGGAUGAGAAGGGGUGGGGGAGUGGGGGGGCUGGGAGAAAACCUCUGAGAGGUGCCGCUGUUGAAGAUAUCCUGGUUUCAAACAAACAGAGCUUUUCACAGUCAGAUUUUCAUCUCUUUGGUUUGGGCUUUAUUUGGUUUGUAAUCUGAAACUCUCAGUCCUUCUAAAUGUUGGAAUUGCAGAUCUGUUCCCCCAAGCCUGGUUCUGCUUUGUUUCGAAUGCAUCAGUAUCCCAGGUUCCAGAGCUGAGCUGAUGAGGCUGUAGCAUUUGCUUAGUGAGUUUGACCCCCAGCACUGCAGACGCAAUUGUUUUAUAAAAGAGAAAACUGUCUGGGCACGGUGGCAGAUGGCUUUUAUACCAGCACUUGGAGUCUGGAGGCAGGAGGAUCUCUGUGAUUUUGAGCCCAGCCUGAUCUACAUUGUAAGUCCCAGGCCGGCCAAGGCUACAUAGUGAGACCCUGGUGGGGUGAGAGAGAACAAGCACGGAAGAACAUGAACAAACAUGGAGUGGGCCCUUGAGAGGUGGCCCAGCCGCUAAGAGCACUGGCUGUUCUUGCAGAGGACCCAGAUUAGCUUCUCUGGGUCAUGGCAACUCCAGAUCCCAGGGGAUCGUAGCCCUCUUCUGGCCUUUUCAGGUACUACAUGAAGUGUGUGGCGUGCAUAUAUACGCACAGAUAAAAUACUCAUACACAUAAGAUAAAAAUAAAUUAAGAAAAGAGGAAGAUGCUGGUUAUAGUGGCCCCUGCCUUGAAUCCUAGCACUUGGGAGCAGAGGCAGGUGGAUCACUGUGAGUUCUACACAGCAAAUCUAGGAGAGCCAAAAGAAAAAGAGGAAGAGGGAGCUGGCAAACUGGUAUCUUAGAGAGUUGCAUGAGCUCUGGCGAUCACGAAUACUAAACAGCACUGAGGUUCUAGCCCCAGGCAGCUUGAUGCCCAGACAGUGCAUUCUACAGGGUCUAACAUUUCUAUUUGACUGAAAAUCAUUGGUCAAACAGGAUUUUAUCAGAUUGUGGUUAGUAAUAAAAUUACUUUUUUGUUUGUUUGUUUGUUUGAGCCAGAUUCUGCCAUCCAGAUUGGCCUCCAACUCACUCUGUAGCUCGAGAUCACCUUGAACUCUGGAUCACCUGACUCUGCCUCCCAAGUGGCAGGAUUUCAAGGGUGAGCCACUGUACCUGACUCCAGACAUGACUUUUGGAGUCUAAGUAUACAGCUUGGAAUACAUCACUCUCCAGAGCCUGCUGUUCAACCUGGAGAAAAUGAAGGCCUGAGCCUCGUGGUUCAGAAUCCCUUUCUCCUCUCCCGAAUUAUCACGAGUCAAAUAAGGAUAGGAAGGUCAAAUACAGUGUUAAGGCCUUAAAAAGAAAAAAAAUCAGAUUUGUCACCAUCAUGAAACAAGUGCUCUCCUUCUGUAUUAACAGAAAGAAAGAUGUUUUGUGACUCACAGAGGUAGAAUGCCAGCCAUGUUCUAAGACCAAGAUUAAAUGUGUAAAAUGUCAAUAGAUCAGCAGACCAUGUCCACAGGUAACAUUAUAUAACCUCCUUAUUCCUCCCAACAGCCCUGACUCUCCAGGCACAGAGCCCACACUCUCACUUUUUUUCCCUUUUAGAUAGGGUCUUUCUAUGUACUUGUAACCAUCCUGGAACUUGCUAUGUAGACCAGGCUGGCCUUGAACUCACAGAACUCCUCUUGUCUCUACCCCCUGAGUAUUGGGAUUAAAAUCAUGCACCACCAAGACUGGCCUAUUUUAAUAAGCCGCCCCAUCCUUACAAAGACCUCUCUCCCAGAAUGAACACCCCUCCCACCCCCAAAAUCAAAACUCUGCAAGAUGACAUCCAAACAGGUCUGUCUGUCUUUCUGAGAAUCAAUCGCUAGUCUCCUGACAGACUUACUGGCUAUUUUCUUCUAGACCGUCAUCAUAAUUCUGAUUUUCUUUCCCCUUACUUUGCAAGGAAGAAUACAUCUUUUAAGCAGCCGUUUGGCCCUCUGAGGGCAGUUAUAAUGUACCUUAUAUGAGCAAAUUGUCAUGUGGUGGUUGAGCUCAUGACAUGCUGACUCUGCAAGAAGCCUUUCUUCUCUCCCACUUUAGACCAAGGCAUGUUUGUCUCAAAGCGUCCACCAGGGCCCUUUGUUUGGGAUUGGGUGGCAUGCAGAGGAGAGGGCACCAAAGCAGCCCCUGUAAAACCACUGUGUUUUGGAGAAGAGCUAUCAGGGAAAUCGUGUUUAUCAGAGGUUACUACUUUGUAUCUCUUGGUAUAAAAAUGCCGGCAGCGGGAACAGGACACUGGCAGCUCAAUUUUUGGAAGCUUAUCCUUCGAGAUGGUAACUCCAGUUCACAACUCACCAGUUCACAACUCACGCUUUCUCCAGUCUUUUCUGCUGGAUGUUUGCAAGUUUCCGACUUAUGUCAGUAUCGUUACUGUGUCUGUGCUCUCUCGUCCUUCCCUCCCUCCUCACCCCAUCCCCCUCUCUUUGUCUCUCUGCUUGCUGCUCCUUGUUUCCUUACUGCUCUAGUCAACUAGCGUUUGUGACUCAGUUAAGCAUCCACAAGUAAUACUUGAUACCUCGUAGGCCAUCCUGCAGGAACACACAGGGCAGGUGUGUGCUGGUGACUAGUUUAGCUUUUAUGGGUUUUAAAGUUCUGAUCACCAGAUGCCUUCCCUUGCCUUUAGUAUGUAACCCAUAGAAAAGUACCUUGGCAGCGUGGUCUACUAUGUUGUUGUCCGUUUGUAGCUCUCAGGCUCUGCUCUGGCACGGACAUUCCCAGUGUGUGGUGACUACUGCCUUCCCUCGCAGGCUGACUUAGCUCGAGCACCCACCUCUCACAUAGCUCUGAUGGGUCACUGUGCAGAAUGUCUAUGAACCAGACACAAGGGAGCCUGGAGCAGUGCUGAGGGUCACAACCUUUCUUUGCCAAACUUGCCAAGUAUGAAGAAUUGACUCCCCAUAGAGGCCACUGCUAGAGGUCACCCAUAAAGUGCAAAGUGUCAUAGGGGAAUUUGGUUUUUGAGGGGAAGAAGGGAAAACUGAAACACACAUCUUACUCCUCUAAACUCCAAACUAGCCUUGAACUCUUUGGCAAUCCUCCUGUCUCAAUCCCCUGAGGAACAGAAUUGCAGGCAUAAACCAUCAUACCAGAUUUAAGGCGAGGGGGAUAUAUAAGACAGGGUCUCACUUUGUAGCUCUGGCCUAAAACUGGCUGUGUAGAUCAGGCUGGCUUUGAACUCAUAGAGAUAUUCUUGCUCUGCCUCCUUAAUAAGGUUUAAUUUGCAAAGAAAAAUAUAUUUUCAAAGCCAUCUUUUCUGUUUUGCAAUAACUCAAGGCUGAGAAUCGUCUGUGUUUUGGAACGACACCCUCUGGGUGCACCAAUAUGAAUCAGGAAAUGUCUGAGCUCAAUUGUGUCAUAUAGUAAUUUUCAUGGGUGUCUGGGCUUUCCCAGAGUGAAUACACAUGUGCGGGUGUGUAGUUUAAAGAUUCUGUGCGGAGAAGGAGGAGGGAGAUGCCAUGGGUUAGGAGUCAAGAGAAUGUGGCUCUGAGGGCUGGCCAAUUGGAGUUAAGAGCAGCCCAGAUGAAACAUGAUGACCAUGUGACUAUGAGAAUUUGUAGAGCGUUGCCCACUGGUUCACCUAGGCUGCGUGUUACUCACCAAGAAAGGGAUAUCAAAGGAUAUUACCCUGGGCAACCGGUGAGACUCCAUUUUGAUUACAUGUGAGGAAGGCUCCAAGACUGUCAAGGCCUACAGACGUGUGGCAUAAUGAAACGAUUUACCAAAGAGACUACUUACUCCCCACCACUUUAUGAGAUUGGUUGGGAUCCGAAACUAAGGCAUGAUUUCAUCGAAUCCUAGACCAGAACCAGAAGUCUACUGCUGUGGUGGGAGGAACGGCUUUGCAAGAAGCACUUUUUAAAACUAAAGGCAAAUUGUUUGGGAAAUCAAGAUCCAACCUUGAGAACAUGUCAUCUGUUGGAGGGGAGAGCUUGUGAGGUGCAGUUCACUGCUUGCCUGCAACCCCACCACACAGAGGUGAAAUAAAAAUGUCGUCGGUGUCAUAAUGUUAAAAAAAAAAAUUCUGUGCUUGAGAAUAGUGAGUAGCCCUGGUGGAGGUGGGGAAGGUCCCAGGGACAACCUCUGUCUUCCUCACUGUUAUCUGCAGGGCAUGAUCCGAAGGAAACCCUUCGGUUGGGUGGAGCACUGCUCUCAGGGACUAAACCUUGAGUCUCAGAAGCCCUGGCCCAGUGGUUUAAUAUCAUCUCAUCUGGAAAUAAGUCAAGACUCAUUCUGACACAGCAUGUAAGAUGCUGUUACACUGUGCACAGCUAGACUCCUGCCUGAGAGACCACAGUGGUCUUGCUGGCUAGGGUGACUGUAGAGGUAAAGAGCAUGGAAAGAAAGGGAGUCCCCUUCACUGGCAGCUUCCUGAGAGGAUAAAAGAGCACUUUUACACCCAGAAACGCAUACACACAGAUACACACAUACAGACACACGCACAGGCACACACAAACACACAGACAGACACAUGCACAGGCACACACAAACACACAGACAGACAGACACAUGCACAGGCACACACAAACACACAGACAGACAGACACAUGCACAGGCACACACAAAAACAUACAGACAGACACAUGCACAGGCACACACAAAAACAUACAGACAGACACAUGCACAGGCACACACAAACACACAGACAGACACAUGCACAGGCACACACAAACACACAGACAGACACAUGCACAGGCACACACAAACACACAGACAGACACAUGCACAGGCACACACAAACACACAUACAGACACAUGCACAGGCACACACAAACACACAGACAGACACAUGCACAGGCACACACAAACACACAGACAGACAGACACAUGCACAGGCACACACAAACACACAGACAGACACAUGCACAGGCACACGCAAACACAUACAGACAGACACAUGCACAGGCACACACAAACACACAGACAGACACAUGCACAGGCACACACAAACACACAGACAGACACAUGCACAGGCACACACAAACACACAUACAGACAGACACAUGCACAGGCACACACAAACACACAGACAGACACAUGCACAGGCACACACAAACACACAGACAGACAGACACAUGCACAGGCACACACAAACACACAGACAGACAGACACAUGCACAGGCACACACAAACACACAUACAGACAGACACAUGCACAGGCACACACAAACACGCAGACAGACAUACACAAACACUCACAUAACAGAGACAUACACAUACACAGACACAGACACACACAGACACAGAUAUACAGAUGCAUGCACACACACAGACACACAUACACAGAUACACACACAGACACACAGAGACACACAGACUGACAUACACAGACACGCACAGGCACACACACAUAUACACAGAGUAAAUAUUAGUAAUUAAUAUCAGAAUAAAAGCCUGUGUUUGCUGGGGCUAGGGCUAUCAAGGAAAGUGGAACAGAAAUGGCCGGACAGCUCUAAAACCACCAUACUUUGUGAACUUAGAGUUAUUCAGUAAAUUCUGAUGUUGUAGAAAGACACACACACAUCCGCCUAUGUGGCUGACAGCCGAGUUAAUGGGAGGAGGUGUUGGGGUUGAUGCAUGGGCCCUGGCAGCCCUUACAAACCAGGGCCCCUGUCCUCAAUACUCCAGUUAAGGGGACAGUAAAAGUGAAAAUCAGAAACGGGAUUUAUUCAAUGUAGCUGCAUUGGGAAGAGAAUUGACUAAAGACACCCAGUGCCCCCCCCCCCCCCAGAUCCCCUGUCUGUCUCCUGACUCGAGGUUUGAGUUUAAACAGACGUGCACCACUGGCCAAGGUGGGUCCCUGCUCAUCAUUGACCCAUCUUUGUCUCUGAUCAUGGUCUCUCCAGCGAGGCAGUUUGAUGAGCUCUCAGAAGUAUGUGAAAUCUUUCCAAGACCCGAGCUCCCAAGAGACUCCUGGGAAAUUCCAUUCCAUGGGGUCCAUUGUCUCCGUGGGCCAAUAACAAGAGGAAAGGCACACGCUCUGUCUAGAACCACUUCCUGUUGCCGGGGAAGCACAGGAUUCCUGCUAUGCCUCAGGAAUGUUCUUUGGAGGCAGAUGCCCUACUAGGGAGUGGAGGAGGAGGAUUUAAUGGGUGGUGUGACUCUUUUGUUAUUUUCAUUUGAGUGCUGAUAUGUAGUUUGCUUAACUAUAUCCUAAAGGCUUCCAUGGUAAAGGCUUAGUCCCCAGCAAGCUUCAGUCUGGGGAUAGGAGAAACCAUUUGAGGCAGUGUCUCACUAUGGAGGAGCCUAAUGGCUUUGAAGCUGCAGUUCUCCUGGGAGGCAAGCAUGCACCAGCGCACCCAGCAGAUGGUGGAAACUUUAGGAGGUGGGGUCUAGAGGGCAUGUCUUCACAUCUUUGGGGGGCAUGCCCUUAAGGGGCUAGCGGGAGUCCGGCCCCUUCUUGAUGUUCUUUGCUUCCUGGUUUUGAAAUGAGCCAAGUAGAGCAUCCCCAGUCACCCAGCAACCGUGCCACAAAUGGUGUCCUGGAAUCUAAAGAACUCUCCUGUUAGAAGUCUCAGACAUUUCUAUUGUGAUAGAAAGAUGACUAUAUUUUCCAAAGUCCCUUUUACGAAGCAAUCACUACUUGAUUAAAAAGAGCCCUGAACUUGAAAGCUUCAUUUCUUGUACCAACAGCGCUGUGCUAUUGCUGGGAUGCAGCCCUUUUGGUCUGGUGGCAGUGAGGCAACUCCAGGGACAUUUCCUUUCUGAGCACCAUUUUCCCAUCAGCUGUUGAGGCCACAUGGGGUCAGUUCCUAUAUCGCUGCCGUUUUCUUUGCAGUUCCCAGAUGGGAAGGAAGUCUCAUCUUCCUACCGCCCCGGGGAGCCACAAGGUCUUAGUAGGAAGUCAGCAGCGUAGGAGAAAGAUUUGUGAGGGGGAGGGGGGAAGGUAGACUCUCCCACGCAGCUUCACACAAACCACAGAGCCACUGUGAGCCUCAGUGUCUUCAUUUGUAAAAUAAACGCAACAAGCACAACAACUUCUAGGGGUUUUUGUUUCUUUGUUUCAUUUGAGGACCAAAUGUAAUAUUUUCCUUAAAAGCGUUUGUGAGCUGGGAAGAGUCAUGAAUAUUCAUCUCAGAAAGCACUUAGGUUUGGGAGAGGAUCGGGUAGGGGCAGGGGACUGGGUAAUUUUCGAUAUUCAUAAUUUGGGCUCCAAAUUGGAAAUUUUAAAGAUCUCUGUGUUUUGCCACCAGCCUCUAGUGAAAGUUCACUGUGUGGUUGUGGUUACAGGUGCAGGCUGCCACUGUGAUCAUAGUCCUUGGGGACGGAUGGUCAGGAUGGUUGGGAGGGGGCUUCUUCCUUCCUGCCACCCCACCCUGUGGUUAAACAGGCUUGUGUGAUGUGAGGAGAACUCUGAUAAGUAAGUUCCUGUGGAACUAAUUUGAGGCUUGGGAGGUGUUUUUCUGCUGGCUAGUGCUAUAUGCCUUUUCUUGCAAGAGAGGAGACCCUCGGGGCUGGGGAUUUAGCUCAGUGGUAGAGCGCUUACCUAGGAAGUGCAAGGCCCUGGGUUCGGUCCCCAGCUCCGAAAAAAAGAACCAAAAAAAAAAAAAAAAAAAAAAAAAAAAAAAGAGAGAGGAGACCCUCAAGGACAGUCACUUGAAGGUGGCUGUCGCCCUGUAACCCUGCUAGUGCAAUGCUUACCUAGCCUUCCCUCUAGGUUAAGAAGAUGGGAGAGGGUUUUCCCACUCAUUCACACAGGGUCAGAGCUACAUCUGUGGACAUAGAAGCAGUCUUCUCCUACAGCUCUGGGAACUGCCAGAUGGUAAGACUCAAGAGCUUGAGACAGCACAGGAAAGCUCUCUCUGGCAGAGGGCUGCCCAGGAGGACCAGGCACGAGAGGCAAGCAGUCUUGACUGGAGAUGGUGGGUGUGGUGGUUUGUAUACACUUGGCCCAGGGAGUGGCACUAUUAGAGGGCAUGGCCUUGUUGGAGUGGGUGUGGCCUUGUUGGAGUGGGUAUGGCCUUGUUGGAGUGGGUGUGUCACUGUGGGCAUAGACUUUAAGACCCUAGUCCUGGAAGUCAGUCUUCCACUAGCAGACUUCAGAUGAAGAUGUAGAACUCUAAGCUCCUCCUGCACUAUUCCUGCCUAGAUGUUGCCAUACUCCCGCCUUGAUGAUGCCAAACUGAACCUCUGAACCUGUAAGCCAGCCCCAAUUAAAUGUUGUCCUUCAUAAGACUUGCAUUGGUCAUGGUGUCUGUUCACAGCAGUAAAACCCUAACUGAGACAGUGGGGAAUAUUUUAAAAGGACUUUACUAGCCCUACCUUCUAACAGAGCCUGUCCAACUAGCCAAUCUAUUUCUCCCUUUGUGCAUUGUGCAUUUCUUUUUGGACUGUUAGAGAUGGUUUUUCUUUUAUGCUAAUAAUUUCAAAAUUACAUACCAUCAGUCCUUCAUGUUUGCAUAUUUUAUAUCCAUGGAUUCUAACCGUGGCCCCAUAAUCUUUUUUUUUAAAUUUAUGUCUGGAUCCAACAUGUAGGACUUUAUUCCUUUUCCCCUUAGAUUCAUUUGUUUUAUUUUAUGUGUAUGAGUAUUUCGCUUACACACAUACCUUUGUACCAUGUGCAUCCUGGGAAUGGAGUUAUGGAUGGUUGAGAGUUGUCAUGUGGGUGCCGGGAAUCACACUGGCUUCUCUGCAAGAAUAAGUGCUGUUAAUCACUGAGCAACCCUCAGACUCUACUCUUGUUUCCUUACCUUUACGUGCAUCCAUAGUGUAUUAGAUAUAAUCAUUAGACACGAUUAAAGCAUGGGAGAGGAUUUUGUAUGUUAUGUAUAAUCAUGACUUAUAAUUUAUUUGUUGUUGUUUCUGUUCUUCAGAUUUUUGUUGUCCAGCCUGGCCUGAGCCUCCCUCACACAGGAGAGAAGGACAGAGAACAAGGACAUAAGAAAAUGUCAAUCCCAGAAGAUGCCCACUGAACCCCAAUAUCAGCGUCAUCAAGACCCCCUGCCUCAGCCUUCUGAGAGCUUCAGUUAUCACUGAGCACCACCGUGCUUCCUUUCCCCCACUUCAGAACCCGGGGUUUACUGCAUGCAGGGAACUAUAAACUGUAGUCUGAGAAGAGGAACCUUAAUUAAGAAGACACCUCUAUCGCGUUGGUGUGUAGGCAAGCCUGUGAGGCAUUUUCUUGAUUCUACACCCUGGAGAGUUGGUUCUGGAGUGUACAAGAAAGCGUAUAGGGCAAGCCAGAAAGCAGCAUCUCUUCUUCAGUACAGCGUACAGAUUCCUGUGCUUUGGUGACGCCGUGCUGUGCUGUUUUUAUCACAAUAGAGGACAAGCUCAUGUUCAGUGCAGAUGUGCAUGAAAUACAGAGCAUUUUGCAGCUGGACGGAUGUGAGUGCACACGCUGCCUCUAGUGCUCGGUUACAGCAUGGCCUUAUGACACAUUUAGAACAUGUAUGUGCCGCGGGUAAGUGUGGCUGACCACUGCUGGCUUUAGGAAGGAUCAGUACAAGUGGAGACUACCUGGAGGCCAGUGUUAUCGGAUGAUGUUUCCUAUGGAUCUAUGUCUAAAUGACAUCCCGUCGAGCAUGAAAUGCCUGCAGCCAGGAGGUACAAUAGCUGAGUCGAGGCACUCAAAGGCAGCUGUGCCAGCAAGCCAGCAAGCAGUUCCCUUUGUAGACGAGGUUUGGGGGAGUUGUGCCCACUGUUAUCCAUGUGCUCACCUCACCUCACUCCGGCCUCUCUUACAUUUCCCAGUAUGACUAGUUCUCAUCCUUGCUCUCUGUGCUGGGCGAGCCCCUGCUGAGAAUCCAGGGUCUGAGACUUGAGCAGGUGGCGUGCCCAAGAGGUCAGACUAAUCCAAAUGAUCAAUACUGAUGGAUGCAGAAACCCACUCCCAUGGCCUUCCCGGUUUUCUGGAAUGGCAGCGACCUGUAGUUGAGAACUGCUGUGCCUACAGCCAUCAUCUCUAAACCAGACUUUCUGAUUUCCUUCUGUGGCCAGGAGAGCAUGCGAACACUAACCUCCCCCUGCUAAUCUCAAGGGGACUGAAAGCCAGAAGAACAAGGUAACUUUAUAAGGAAACAGUGUGAAUUGACAGCAGGACUGGGUUUUUGUUUCCUGGCUCCCUGUCCCAUGUCGCUUUUUAUACAAUGUUGCAUGCUUUCCUUUGCUGCUACUGCAAAUUACCACAAGGCCCACAGUUUAAAGCAACAUAGAUGCAUUAUUGUGGGGAGCAAAGGGACCCUGAGAGGGUAUGUGCUGUUGCCAUGGGGACAGCCAUUUCAAGGACAUCCUCCUGGUGACUUAAAUUCUUGGGUAAAGCCUCCCCUCCUGGUCCAAGUUCAAACGUUGAUAGCAUGGGCAGAAAAGGUUCAUCACAGCUUCCUCCCCUGGAUAUUUAUGUCUUGAAGACUAUGUCCUUAGAGACCCUGCUCCUGUUGAAAUUCACUAACCCUGUCUCCUUGUUCAGCUGUGUAUGACAAACAUUGCCUCUUUGAUUCGGCUGUAUGCAAUGGCCCUGCCUUCUCCUUCACUAAUAUAUAAAUAAACACUCGGAGUGGGCAAGGGUUGGUGUGCGGGUUUCCUGUUCCUCCACCAGAGAACCCAGUUCACACAUCCCAGCUUCUCUGUCUACCUGUGUCCGUGUAUCUGUCAUUCCUUCCUUCAAUGCUCCAAUCAGCUUAGUCCCUGGAGCCAUGCAGGUUGCAGCACAAUAUCUAAUAGUGUGUGUGUGUGUGUGUGUAUGUGUGUGUGUGUGUGUGUGUGUGUGUGUCUCAUUUGGCUAAAACAAAGGUGUCUGCAGGGCUGUGCUCUUCUGAAGGCUUGUACAUGUUCAACCUCUGGACACCCUCGAGCCUUGGCUGAUCCAGGUCGCUCUACACCUCAUCCCCCACUCCCCUCUUGUCCCCUCUUCUGUUCUACACUUAAGGACUACAGUGAUUACAGUGAGCCCAUCUGGAUAAUCCAGGAUAAUCUCCUGUUUAAGGUCAGUUGAUUAGCAGCCUUAAUUCUCCCUUGCAACACUAUCACACAUUCACAGUUCUCAAUUAGGACGUAGGCACUCUGUCGCCAGGGCUACUAUUCUGCUGGUUGAGGACCUGAAGGAGACGUUGGUAAUAAUUGUGACAUGUGGCAGUGGGCAUAGCCUAGGUGAGUCUCAUCUGUAGCUAUAGGUCAGGGCCAGUGAGGUGGCUCAGCAGGUAAAGGUGUGAAAGGUGGAAAUUCACUGUGGAGGAAAAGAACAGGUUCCCCAAAGUUGUCCUCUGACCUCCACAUGUGCACCAUGGCAUGCCUGCCUACACUCACAGACACGUGUCACUCCCCCCCACCCCCCACCACAACCACAACAGCCAGGUCUCAAGGCCAGCCUGGUCUACAGAUGAAACUAGCAAGUUUCAGGACAGCCAGGGCUAAAUAACAGAGAGACUCUGCCUCCAAGAAAAUGAAUUAAAUUAAAUUAAAAUAUUUAAAGUUAUUUGUUUUCACCCUCUUAAUUUUCUUUUUAAAAAUUUAUUCUAUCCAGCUGGGCAGUCGUGGCGCAGGCCUUUAAACCCAGCACUUGAGAGGCAGAAGCAGACAGAUCUCUGAGUUUGGGGCUAGCCUGGUCUACAGAGUGAGUUCCAGGACAGCCUGUCUCAAAAAAAAAAAAAAACAUAAACAAACAAGCAAACAAGUUAAUGUUAUAUAUUAUUAUAUAUACUAUGUAUAUAUAAUUAUAAUUUUAAUCUUAUAAGUGUUUUCUUGAAUGCAUGUCUGCGUACCCUGUGUGUGCUUGGUACCCAUAGAAGCCAGAAGAGCGGGGCUGGGGAUUUAGCUCAGUGGUAGAGCGCUUACCUAGGAAGCGCAAGGCCCUGGGUUCGGUCCCCAGCUCCGAAAAAAAGAACAAAAAAAAAAAAAAAAAAAAAAAAAGAAGCCAGAAGAGGGUAUUUGAUUCCCUGGACCUGGAGUUCUGAAGAGUUGUGAGCUGUCAUGUAGGCGCAGGGAAUUGAACCUGGUUUUUCUAGAAGUGCUCUUAACAGCUGCACAUCUCUCCAGCUGAAGCUCCCUUAAAUGUUCAAAGAAAACAGUCUUUUCUGAGGUCAGAAAUUUCAACCUUUCCUAGCUAUCACCAAGGGAUCCUGGUGCCCAUCCACCCUCAUUGCUGUAUGGUUUGAAUAUGUCCUCAAGAAGCAGAUGUCAGCCUGGAGAGAUGGCUCAGGGGUUAAGAGCACUGACUGCUGACUGCUCUUCCAGAGGUCCUGAGUUCAAUUCCCAGCAACCACAUGGCGGCUCACAACCGUCUGUAAUGGGAUCUGAUGCCCUUUUCUGGUGUGUCUGAAGACACCUACAGUGUUCCCAUAUACAUUAAAUAAAUAAGUCUUUUUUUUUUAAAAGAGAGAGAAAGCUUAUGUCGAAAACCCAAUUCCCUGAUAAUGGAAACGGAUGAAGAUGGAUUUGAAAGGCCAUGGGGCUUCUGGUUCUGCCCUGAGGUGAAGAGGGCUCUGAGCAGAGGGAAAGGCAAACAGAAAAGCAGUUGUCUGCCUUUGCAGAAGUGAUGCCAACAGCCUGCACCUCCUCAGGUUAAUGAACCAGCAAAACCUGCAGGCUCCGGUGUGAGCAGUCAUCACCAGGCCCCAGGCAGGACUCUAGGGCAAGUGCCCAUGGAAACCAGAAGAGGACGUCGUCCGAUCCCCUGACACUGGAGUUACAGAUGGUUCUGAGCUGCCACGUUGGUUCUGGAAAUCAAACCCAGGUCCUCUGCAAGAGCAGCAAGACAGAGUUUCUCUGUGUAGCAGCCCUGGCUGUCCUGAGACUCUGUAGAACAGGCUGGCCUGGAUGAACUCACAGAGAUCUGCCUGCCUCUGCCUUAUGAGUGGUGGGACUAAAGGCCUAUGCCACCGUGCUCAGCCGCAAGUGCUCCUAACUGCUACGCCAUCUCUCAGCCCCCAGGUAAAUAAGUCCUAAGAACUAACAAACAAGCAUAAAAAUGUAUGUACAUGGCUCUGAAUACCAUUCCCCCUGUGGGGUCAUGACCAACUGGCAUACUUUCUAAAUGGAUUACAAUUUAAAGUAUACCCAUUACUAAUGAUCUAAGAGUUUUUAUAAUAAAGUUGUUUUGUUCAAAAUUAUUGACACUACACAGCAAAAUGCACCAUUUAAUUAAUAAAUUCAAACUUUAGAUCUGGUCACUUGAAUAAGGCAGAAUGACUUUCUAAAAAAGAUUUACUUACCGUAUAUGAGUACACUGUAGCUGCCUUCAGACACACCAGAAGAAGGCAUCAGAUCCCAUUACAGAUGGUUGUGAGCCACCAUGUGGUUGCUGGGAAUUGAACUCAGGACCUCUGGAAGAGCAAUCAGUGCUCUUAACCAUUGAGCCAUCUCUCCAGCCCAAGCAGGGUGACUUUUAAAUCAUUAUUUUAAAACCCAUACUGUUGUCUUUUUAUUUGAAAAGAAGAUUUAUUUUUUAUUUAUUUAUUUUUUCUUUUUUCCGGAGCUGGGGACCGAACCCAGGGCCUUGCGCUUCCUAGGCAAGCGCUCUACCACUGAGCUAAAUCCCCAACCCCUUAUUUUUUAUUUUUAACUACGUGUAUGCAUUGUAUCUGUGUGGGUUUGUGCACAUGCCUGCCAGUGCCAACUAAGGCCAAAGAGCAUCUGUUUCUGAGGCUGGAGGCACAGGCGGUGGUGCAAAGGCCUGUGCACUCUAACUGCUGAGCCACCCUUCCCUGGUCUAGGACAUUAGCGCUUAGGCAGUUUUAGUCAGGUAUACAAUGUAUCUGAAACAUCUGCAAUGUUACUCCAGACAGAGCCCUGGAGUUUCCCCCUCCACCUUUAUGUCUAACUACUUUGUAUAAUCCACUGAGUCCAAGUAUGCGGCCAGCAUGCCCAUGGGUAUGGGGCGAUCCACUGGAGCAUGGGCAACCUACAGCCCUCCCAUCCUCAGAGAAAAAUUACUCUCUCUGCCCCAGCGGCCCUCGGUUGGUGUCAGCUGCUAAUAGUUCCACGGCUAGGGGUGGAGCAGCAUGAGCUGGAAUGCUGGCUGGCUUGAUUUUGUGCAGGUCUCCUGCUGGAGCGGCAUGGCUGCAGUGAGUUCAGGAGCUCAGGAACCAUCCCAU